GCACUUACCUGGACGGGGUCAAUGGGUGAUCAAAAAGACUCAUGGCCUAGGUUGGUGACCGCCAUUGCACAUUAAGGUGGGGUGCCCGCCUAAGGUCUGCCCAAAGUGGCAGAGCCUACGUCAUAAUUUGUGGUAGCGGGGGCCUGCGUUCGCGCGGCCCCCUCCCAAGUCUCCAGUUUUCAAACUUUCGGCUUCUCCAGGUAUCUGGUUCUUGGUUGAGACUCCUGAAAAUAUUCUUCUCAUUGAAAUCGACUGAAGCUGAAUUACUGGCAUGAUUUCAAUGUUUUCUUUUGGUGUAUUUGCAUUCUACAAGGAAAUUAAUUUCAUUAUAUCUUUUGAAUAUAUUCUCCAUAUCUAAAUUGAGUGUAUUGUAGAUUUAACUCAUGAAUAGGCUGUACAUUUGUUCCUUAAUCUGAAUGAAAACUUCUCCAAGCAUGAUUUUUC